rnacentral:lncRNA from 1 species
CUUAGUGUAAGUUUUAAUUUUUGGUCUCUGAGGUCCAAUGUAUUUUUUAUGUUUUUUUUUGUUCCAAUAAAUGCUUUCUCCUCCAGAUUCUCCGAUUGACUGACUGAUCAAGAAAGCACAAGCAGCAAUAUGUGCACCUGUUGACUGUUGAAUUAGAUAGAUCCUAUAAAAACAUAUAUGAAAAGACAGGAAAUAUUUUAAGGGUAAAUUC